AAAAAAAAAAAAAAAAGGAAUACUUUCAGAUGGUCCUUCUUGGCAGGAAUGAGUUCCAUCCUGGCCUAGGGUCUUUACCUUGCCCUGAAUCUCUUUGUGGGUCACCAAACUUAUGGACUGACCAGGCUGGGCCUUGUACUUGGCUGGACCCAUGCUGCCUGGCUCCCGAGCCCUUUGCAUUAGGCCUUCCCAGCAUUUGUUCUUCAUCCCUCCUUGGUGGCAACCCUGUUUGCCUGGUGUCCCCGGUGACACCUGGCACUGUGUGUGUUCAGGAGGUGGGCAAUAGAGCCCGAUGCCUGGCUCUGAUUCCUCUUCUGUCCCCCAUAGCUGCAUGAUCUUGGGCGAGCUGCUUAACCUUUCUGUAAACCUCAUCAGUAAGCUGGAGUUGCUGGCACUGGCCUCACGGGUCCUUGUGGAGAUUACAUGACUUGGUUCUUGUCGGGACUUAGAACUCCCUGUGGCAUGCAGAGGCCCUGAGGGAUGGCUAAGUGCUAUUGUUAUUAUUACUGCCUGUGAGCUGUAGUGCACACACAAAAUGUGUCCUUAAGCGAAGUGACAAUAUUGUGAUCUUGUUUUUCAACUCAUUACUUUGCCUCCACGUUAAUGAGCCGCCCUAGCAGUUCUCAAAUUGUAGCCCAGAAGGCUUGUUAAGUACACAAUGCCUGGCCCCACCCACAGAUCUGGGUGAGUCUGAGAUUCUGCCUUUCUAAGGACUUCCUUGGGGCUGCAGCCGCUGCUCCUCAUUGGGCACUUUGAGAACCACUGCUCUGUGGGGUGUGUGCCCUGUGCGCGCCUGUGUGUGCCUGUGUGAAUGUAUGCCUGUGUGAAUGUGUGUGUGUUUGUGCGUUCGUGUGUGUGCCUGUGUGCACGCAGGUGCCUGCAUGUGUGUGCCUGUGCUUAGAUGUGUAUGCCCGUGUGGAUGCAUGCGUGUGUGCAGGUGUGCCUGUGCCUUCUCAUGGCCCAGGUGAGCUGCCAGCAGUUACCCGCACCCCCACCUCAGUUAGCCCUCGGUGUGGGGCACAGGAGCCCAGGUUGGAAGCUGUAGGAACUCGGGGUCCUGUCUUUGGGCACAGCCUGGUGAACCGUGGUCUUUGUUCCCCAGGUGCUUCAGUGGAGCAGGCCAUGGCCAACCUUUGUUUCUUCUUCCAGCGGGAGGAUUAGGACCGGAUUCUGGGUGGGAAGCAGCCUUGGUUUUUAUUUGCUGGGCUUGGCGGCCUAUAUCCGGAGGACCUGUGGUCGUCGUUUCCACCCUCUCCCCCUCCUUCUCCAAGUUAACCCCUUUAUUUUCUCCUGUUCAUUUCAACAGGAUUUAUGCUUGAUUAAGUUACUCUCUUUUAUCAUAAUUAAAGAAAAAUGUGGUGGGAGAGCGCUAAAUACUCCGUUCAAUGAAAACCAGAUUGUUGAACCUGCAGGGAAACAAGGGCUGCCCUGUGGCUCCAGGCCCCUCCCAGGGAGAUUGAUCGCUGGGAGCUGUGGGGAGGGGGCGGAGGGGAGGGGAUUUAAGCUCCUCAGGGAGGAAGUUGCCUGCUCCUGCCGGCCCAGAAGACAGGGGCCUGCCUCCGGGCUUGCCACCCCCUCGUCCUGGGUCCUGCCUAGCAGCCGGUGUGUAACAUCUCACUCCUGACGCAGUCAGGCACUGCUCUGCACACAGGCCCUGGAUUUAUAAAGGCCUUUUUCUCAUGGUGCCUGCGAGUCUCCUGCUGUAGAACACGACCUACUGGAAUGUUUUUAAAAAGUGUGUUUUUAGUUGACUCAGUUCCUCAUGCUGGUCGCAGUUGCUCAUAAAGGCAAGGCUGUGUAAAAAUCCUGCCGAAGCCCUGGCAGUCACAAAGCCCUUGCUCCAAGCUGGGACCUGGAGUGGCGGGGCGGCGAGGCCCCACCGCCUGCCCAGUGAGGUCAAGCCUGGCUGCGGGUGGUUCCUGUGCAAAAGGGAAGGCUGCCUUCAUGUUGCUUAGGAAAUUGUUUCUGUAAUAUGUGUAGGAUUCUAAAAAUGGUUAGACCUGUGUAGUUGGAUGGGAGGGGAGGAGGUGAUGACUGCAGGCUGGGUGGCCUCCCCGAUGGUCACUCGUGAAACAAGAUGGCAGGUUCAGGAGCCAUGGUCUAGUCUCCUCUCUGCCACACUGCACAUAAGUGUGCAUGGGCACCUGGUGAAGGGGUUGUUUUAGGGGAUGGGAGUGAACACAGGCUCUGGGAGUGAACACGGAUUCUGGAGACUCAAGACAGGGGCCCUGCCACUUACCAGUAGUAGGGUGACCUCAAGUGAGUACCUUAGUAGAGAAUGGUGGAAUUUGUUCCUCGUCCAUUGUGGAUGGUUAAAAUAAUACCCCUGGCAUGGGACUGUUGUGGGGACUCUAUGAGCUUGAGCAGUGAGGCAGCCAGCACAGCAAGCAUCCCAGUGCAUGUUGGGAAUUGCCAUUGUUAUGGGCCAUCUGUUUAGGAGGUAGAGCCUCAGACAAGGACAUCGUAUUUGUCAGCUCAGUCUGCCGUAAGUACCCCAGACUGGGCAGCUUAAACAACGUUCAUUCUCUCACAGCCCUGGAGGUGGAAGUGUGAGAUCAAGGUGUCAGCAGGGUUGGUUUCUCCUGAGGCCUUGCUCCUUGGCUUGCAGUUGGCUGUCCUCUCCCUGACUCAUCACGUGGUCGUCCCUCUGUGUGUGUCUGUGUCAUCUCUUCUCCUUAUAGGACACCAGUCAGGUUGGGGUAGGGCCCACUCAUAUGACCUUGUUUUUACCUUAAUCUCCUCUUUAAAAGUCUGUCUCCAAAUGCAUUCUAAGGUACUAGGAGUUAGGGCUUCAGCCUGUGAAUUUUGGAGGAACACAAUUUAGCCCAGACAUGCAAUUUAACUUACAGCAUUUUGAGCAUAUUAAGGUCUCGUUUUGUUGCCCAGGCUAGAGUGCAGUGGUGCAACCACAGCUCACUGAAGCCUCCACCUGCUGGGCUAGGUGAUCCUCCUGCCUCAGCUGCACAAGUAGCUGGGACUACAGGCACACACCACCAUGCCUGGCUAAUUUUACUUUGUUCGUGGAGACAGGGUCUUGCCAUGUUGCCCAGGCUGGUCUCAAACUCCUGGCCUCAAGCCCACCUCAGCCUCCUGAGUUGCUGGGAUUACAGGCUUGAGCCACUGCACCCAGCUUAUUUAUGGGUUACAAGGACAAUUCGUUUUUCUUUUAAAUUUACUUUUUGUUGGGAAGUCCCAACAAAUGCUAGGAAGACCUAGCAUUCCAAGAUUUUAUGGGUAACCUCUGGAACCUGUUUAUUUCUGCCUCUCUGGCUCACUGGGGGCUCCUGGAACCCAGAGCCCCAGGAUCAUUCUGGUGGUGCGGCCCCGGUGCCUCACCCGGCCGGCAGGUGUAUCAGACUUCUGUGCAGCAGUGUCUCUUGGGGGUGCUGACCCCAAGGCCGCCCUGGUCCCUCCUCUCUGAGGUAGCAUCCCAGAGUUGUGUAGUUACGCUGGUCCUCUGCUUCCAGAUGCUUCUCCCCCAUACCACCCCCAUUCCCCUCAUCCAUGCCACCAUGUCAUGAUGUCCGUAAACCAGCAGCCAGAGGAGGAAGCCUGUUCACACUGCUCCCCGCUGGGGAGAAGCAUUCCUCCAGCAAAGGCAGGCUGAUUGCCCCUGGGUGUCCCUUCCUUCUCUAAGAUGCUUACCCUGCCACUGGGGGCAGGAAACUGGGGGUGGAGGUCACUGUUCCAUGGAAAGGGCUGUUCCAGUGCUGUGGGAGAUGAACCUUCACCCCUCCCUUCUCGGCCUGGGAUCAGGACUUUUCAGCCUGCAUGAUCUCCCGACCUCGCCUAGGGCCAGGCUGCCCUGGCGGGAGGGCCGAACGCCGUGCCCUGAUCUCUCUGGGCUGAGUCCUGUCUCAGGAGCACUUGUCAUGCACGCUCAGACACUCCUGUGGGAGGAAAGUUGCAGGGCCUGGGCUUUCUGGGCACGUGCUGCUCUCUUGCUAGGAGUGAGGAUGGAUGGACUCUAGGAGCAACUAUUAGCAAUCCAGCAGGAGCUUCCUCCAGCCUGCGAGCAUUGAGUCUAAUGUGAACGUGGGUCCUGUGGGAUAAGGGGAGGCACUUGUUGGGAUGGGGUGUGGGGUGAUAAUUUGACUUAAAGUUAAGAUAUUUUUAAGAGUAAUUAAGUUAAAUUUUAUGUUCACGAGGCCUACAGAACAGUUCCAUUCUCCUGAAAAUGUUGUUUGAAGCAUUUUAAUAUCAGUUGUAAUAUAAGCUAUUGAUGUGUCUUUUCAUUUGCCUUUACUAAAAUAUUGGAGGCAUAUCUUCUAGUUACUAAUUAUUCUAAUUGAUGGAUUAAAGUAGUUUUUAAAAUAAAAGGCUUUGCUAAUUCCCUGCUGGCUCAUCCAAGCCAAAUGGCCGGUGGCAAUGCUAUUUAAACAGCACUCUACCAUUCAAACCUUACCUCUAACGAGAGGCAAAGCAGUGAGGUCUUAUUCUAAAAGUGCAUGUGUAAGUGGUUUUGCUUGAUCCAGCGUUUAGGUCUGAGACCUCCAGCUUACCAACCGCCUUCCACUUUGCAGCCCUCUCAGAGGCAGCGGAGACUCCAGGGCCCUGAGAUUCUGAUCCUGCACUCCUCCUAUCACGUGACCUCGGCUCCUUAAAAGAGGACACUUGCUCUUAAUUUUCUUGUCUACAAAACUGGGGCAGCAAUAGGAAGGCCAGUCUCCUUCACUGAGGGAUUCCGGGUAAAAUGAAAUGACUGCCUCAUUACCUUGCAGUGACAACUCUGCAAAUGGAGUACUGUCUUUGAACAGAAGGUCAGCAGCAGCAGAGUGUGCUGUCUGUGCUUGUCUGUGACAAGAAAAGACCAUGCCAGUCAAGUCUUGGUCGUUAUGUAGUGGAGAGUGUUGCCAUUGGCCCCUAUCCUACGCCUCACCACCUCCUGCAGGCUGCUGACUCCACGCCCUUGUGACUUGGUCACAGGACUUUCCUGGCCAGGGUACUUGGUCUACAGGCAAGGUACAGUCGGGUGCUGGGAGCCAGUGCAUCCCCCUGCUAUCAGCAAUCCUCCAACAAUAAGCCCUCAUUGGGUAGUGAAUGCUCCAGCUGCCUUGCCUAUGGGGGUGGGCAGCUCUGAGACGUAGGGUCUGUGUGGCCUCCCACAGGGGCCCAGUGUCUUGCGUGGUGUUGCCCAUAGCAGGAACCUACUCAUGCACUACCUCUGGGCCUCUUCCCCUUCUCCUCUCCUUCCUACUCCACUUCAGGGCCCCCUGGCUUCAUCUCCCAAAUGCACUCUGGAUUGACUUCUUGGGGAGCCCAAUCUAUGAUGGAAAUAUUACAGAUAUUGGCCAAGGAACACUUUGUUCCUCAGCGUCUCAUGCACCCUCACUCUGCUCACAGCUUGCUGCUUCCUUUUAGAUUUCAUGUCUCUCUGCCAUUUCCCACAGUCCUUGCUGCCCACAGCCCCAUCAGGCCGAGUUGAAUAUUCAUGCAUGAAAAUUUGACCAACUCGGCUCUUCAUGCGCUACUGUCACAGCAUCAGCCCGGGCACUGUAGAUUCUCAGAGUGGGAUGUCGAGUGGGACGUGUCCUGUUGUCUUGAAUUAGCAGCCAGUACCCAGAGUGAGGACCAAGGGGGUGAGGUAGCCCUUGGUCUCAGGAGCACUGCCUGUCAUAGGGGUGGAUACUACUCCUCGGGGCUUCAGAGCGGGUCCUGCACCCACCUGAGUCUCUUGUGUUGAUCAGGGUGUAGUGGAGGGCUGGAGGCUGGACAGCACCUGCCCUCCCAACUUGACUUGUCACAGUACUGUGUCUGCAAAGGCCAUCUAUGUGGAGCCACACCUCCCGGGACCUUCUGCUUCACUCUGCCCCGGUGCCACCUUUUUGACCCCAGGCUGUGUCCUCUGGUGCCACCUCCCCUCCUUCUUCCACCUCACCUGUUGGGGCCACCUUACCUAUUCACAGCACGGUCACCUUUCCCAGUAACUCUGGUUGGGUCGUUAAACUCGCCCGCCCUCUGGCCGUUGAGUCCUGGUGCCCUCUGAUCAGGCCCAUCCCGGAGGAGCCCUGCUGUUUUGGUCUCCGGACUCAGGCCUGGCAAUCCCAGGGGCAAAGGCCCAACCCCAGGCAUAGAUCAGACCCCUCAUGCCUCAGCCCCAGUCCCCAGCCAGUCUCCCACAGCCUGGCUGCCUCAUCGCCUUGCUCUGGGGCUGGUCCUCCACGCUCCAUGGUGGUUAUUUUUACCCUCACCCCCGCCCACAACCUCGCGCUCCGCCAGCCUUUCUGGAGUGUGCUCACAGAGCAUGCGCUGAAGAGGGAGCAAGGAAGGUGGCGAACGCAGGAGGGGCAGCCGUGUCCAGUGCUGCACUGUGUCCGGUGGCAGAGGCCUGUGCCAGUGGGAAGCUCCCUCCACCAUCUGGGAUGGAGUCAUUGCUUUACAGCAGUCAUAGCUGCUGUCAUGAAAGAUGAAGCUGGUCUCCAGGACACUAGGAGGUUGCAAAGAGCCACAUGAGUUUAUUGGAUAUGACAGAAUUUCUCCAAGUGGGGAAGCUAAAUUAAGCAAAUGAGUCUUGCACCGUCACCCAGGCUGGCGUGCAAUGGUGCCAUCUCGGCUCACUGCAACUUCCGUCUCCCAGGUUCACGCGAUUCUCCUGUCUCAGCCUCCCGAGUAGCUGUGAUUACAGGCGCGCACUACCACAUCCGGCUAAUUCUUUGUACUUUUAGUAGAGACAGGGUUUCGCUCUGUUGGCCACACUGGUCUGGAACUACUGACCUCAUGAUCUGCCCGCUUCGGCCUCCCAAAGUGCUGGGAUUACAGGCAUGAACCACCAUGCCCGGCCAGAAAACCCUAUUGUUAACGGGAAAGUAAUAUUGUAACGAUAUCUGUUCUCCCAAAAUUAAAAUACAAAUUUAAUACAGUUCCAACUAGCACCCCAGUAAGUUAUUUUAUAGAAUUUGGCUUGCUGUUUCUGAAGUCCACGUAGAACUGAAAAUGAGCAAGAAGAACCAAGACAGAAAAAGUGAAAUUAUCGUGAGAACCUUGCUCUACCCAGUGUCAAAAUGUAUUGUCAUAAUUAAAUAGACAAAUAGAUCAAAAGAAGAGAAUAGAUAAUCCACACACAGACCUAUGGAAUAUAUGGAAUUUUUUUUCUUUUUCUUUUCUUUUCUUUUUUUUUUUUUUGAGACGGAGUCUUGCUCUGUCGCCCAGGGUGGAGUGUGCAGUGGCGUGAUUUCAGCUCACUGCUAGCUCCACCUCCCGGGUUCAAGCGAUUCUCCUGCCUCAGCCUCCUGAGUAGCUGGGACUACAGGCAUGUGCUACCAUACCUGGCUAAUUUUUUGUAUUUUUAGUAGAGAUGGAGUUUCAACGUGUUAGCCUGGAUGGUCUCGAUCUCCUGACCUCUUGAUCCAUCUGCCUCGGCCUCCCAAAGUGCUGGGAUUACAGGCAUGAGCCACCGCGCCCGGCCGGAAUCUAUGGAAUUUAUUAAGUGAUAAAUUCACUCACUUUUCCAAUGAGUGGGGAAAUAGUGAAGUUUUAAAUAAAUGAUGUUAGAACAA